rnacentral:lncRNA from 1 species
UCAGAAUAAACCAUGGGAGGCCGAGAAUGUGUUGUCCCAGCAAGUGACAGCAGUGCAGUAACAUCUGUUGAUCAGCAGGUCAUCCGCAGGUGAAACUAAAAACAGUGUUUUGGAUUUGAGCUGAGAGAGGUGUAUAAUGAGAAGCCAAAUAAAGAUGCCGGCUUUUGUGA